UACAGAGGUCUCAAGCGUUGUUCGGAUUCAUUGGGCGUAAAGGGUGUGUAGGUGGCGCCGUAAGUCGGGUGUGAAAUUUCGGAGCUUAACUCCGAAACUGCAUUCGAUACUGCGGUGCUUGAGGACUGGAGAGGAGACUGGAAUUCAUGGUGUAGCAGUGAAAUGCGUAGAGAUCAUGAGGAAGACCAGAGGCGAAGGCGGCGCCCUGGCUCGCAACUGACGCUCAGACACGACAGCAUGGGGAGCGAACGGG
rnacentral:rRNA from 1 species